CCCUUAGAUGUUCUGGGCCGCACACGUGCUACACUGAGUAAAUCAAUGGGUAAGGGAACACGAAAGUGCAACCUAAUCUUCAAAUUUUCUCGUGAUGGGGAUCGACGGUUGCAAUUUUCCGUCGUGAACGAGGAAUACCUUGUAGGCGCGUGUCAUCAUCACGCGCCGAAUACGUCUCUGCACUUUGAACACACCGCCCGUCGCUCCUACCGAUUGAGUGAUCCGGUGAGGCUCUGCGACCUGAACGGAAAGAGCGUUUCGCUUGUUCUGUUUGGAAAACUUGGUCGAACCUUAUCAUUUAGAGGAAGGAGAAGUCGUAACA
rnacentral:rRNA from 1 species